rnacentral:rRNA from 2 species
UAGAAUUCCACGUGUAGCAGUGAAAUGCGUAGAGAUGUGGAGGAAUACCGAUGGCGAAGGCAGCCUCCUGGGAUAACACUGACGUUCAUGCUCGAAAGCGUGGGUAGCAAACAGGAUUAGAUACCCUGGUAGUCCACGCCCUAAACGAUGACAAUUAGCUGUUGGGACACUAGAUGUUUUAGUAGCGAAGCUAACGCGUGAAAUUGUCCGCCUGGGGAGUACGGUCGCAAGAUUAAAACUCAAAGGAAUUGACGGGGACCCGCACAAGCGGUGGAUGAUGUGGAUUAAUUCGAUGCAACGCGAAGAACCUUACCUGGUCUUGACAUGUACGGAAUCUCUUAGAGAUAGGAGAGUGCCUUCGGGAGCCGUAACACAGGUGCUGCAUGGCUGUCGUCAGCUCGUGUCGUGAGAUGUUGGGUUAAGUCCCGCAACGAGCGCAACCCUUGUCAUUAGUUGCCAUCAUUAAGUUGGGCACUCUAAUGAGACUGCCGGUGACAAACCGGAGGAAGGUGGGGAUGACGUCAAGUCCUCAUGGCCCUUAUGACCAGGGCUUCACACGUCAUACAAUGGUCGGUACAGAGGGUAGCGAAGCCGCGAGGUGAAGCCAAUCUCAGAAAGCCGAUCGUAGUCCGGAUUGCACUCUGCAACUCGAGUGCAUGAAGUCGGAAUCGCUAGUAAUCGCAGGUCAGCAUAC